rnacentral:tRNA from 2 species
GCGGGAGUAAUUCAGUGGUAGAAUGCUUCCUUGCCAAGGAAGAUGUCGCGAGUUCGAGCCUCGUCUCCCGCU